AGUGGGAUAACUGGGUCAAAUGGUAGUUUCAUUCCAAGUUUUCUGAGAAAUCUCCGUACUGCUUUUCAAAGUGGUUGUAUUAAUUUGUAAUCCCACCAGCAAU
rnacentral:pre_miRNA from 1 species